AUAACUGACAGCCUUCACUCAAACAGGGAUUCAGGACAUACAAGCAAGCAGUGGAGAAAAGGAGAGGGAAUUGCAGGAAAUGGAUGUGUGCAAACUCGCCCUAAUUUAUGUAAAUACGGAGGCGGAAGAGUUUCACUUCAUUGUUACAAAUUAAAAGUUCCCUGACAUUUCCAAUUAGCUGGAGAGAAAAGCAACACAACUAUAAAUACAUCACAAAGCUGCAAAGUCUGCUGUGGCAUGAACAGCACGCUCCCAUCGCGACACCCAACGGGCCAGAUAAAAGUUUUGUGGUGUUAUUUAAGCAAAAGCCCAUUUUGGCAUCAGAGCUGGCAGAAAUACCGAGAGCUUCAUUUCUCCCCCUUCCCCUUCUCUUCCUCCUCUUGUAAUCUUUGAUAAAGAAAAAAGUGUGCUCCAAAAAAGGUAUGUUAAUUAACAAUUAAUUCCUUUAUCUUAUAGCACUGAGACUUUAAGACCUGAAAAAGAUG